rnacentral:lncRNA from 1 species
UUCACUUCUGUAGGAAGGUUUGAAGAGUCCUACUUCUGUUUCAACGCAGAAUAAAAACCAGUAUUAAGACCAUAAAAACUGCGCCCAAACAGAAUGGUUUACUUCUGACAAGUGGGAAAUAACAUUCUAGACGCAGACCCUGUGUACCACAAAUGGAUGUAGCCAAGCCUGCUGUGAGGAUUAGAGCACCAUGAGCUACCUGCCUAUGUCAGAAAAGAUGAGAUGAAGCCCCCUUGAAAUCUGAAAGGUGACAUGUAUUUUGCCACAAAACUCUCUCAUCCAAAUAAGACAAGGAAUUAUUUUCUUUUCCAAGCCUGGUCUGAAGCAAGGAAGUGCUCUCCUGAAAGCCUAUGGUCUUCUGUCACUCUUCAUUCAUAUACUUGUUUCUGUCUUGUUUCCCUUACUUCUUAACUUCUGGAAGCCCAAUCUUC